rnacentral:rRNA from 1 species
UACGGGAGGCAGCAGUGGGGAAUAUUGCACAAUGGGCGCAAGCCUGAUGCAGCCAUGCCGCGUGUAUGAAGAAGGCCUUCGGGUUGUAAAGUACUUUCAGUCGUGAGGAAGGUGUUAAGGUUAAUAACCUUAGCAAUUGACGUUAGCGACAGAAGAAGCACCGGCUAACUCCGUGCCAGCAGCCGCGGUAAUACGGAGGGUGCGAGCGUUAAUCGGAAUUACUGGGCGUAAAGGGCACGCAGGCGGUUAAUUAAGUUGGAUGUGAAAUCCCCGGGCUUAACCUGGGAAUGGCAUUCAAGACUGGUUAGCUAGAGUCUUGUAGAGGGGGUAGAAUUCCAUGUGUAGCGGUGAAAUGCGUAGAGAUGUGGAGGAAUACCGGUGGCGAAGGCGGCUCCGUGGACAAGACUGACGCUCAUGUGCGAAAGCGUGGGGAGCAAACGAGGAUUAGACUACC